rnacentral:rRNA from 1 species
AUUAGAUACCCUGGUAGUCCACGCCGUAAACGAUGGUUACUAGGUGUGGGGGGAUUGAACCCUUCCGUGCCGGAGUUAACACAAUAAGUAAUCCACCUGGGGAGUACGACCGCAAGGUUGAAACUCAAAGGAAUUGACGGGGGCCCGCACAAGCAGUGGAGUAUGUGGAUUAAUUCGAUGCAACGCGAGGAACCUUACCAGGUCUUGACAUCAAGUGCAAGUCCCAGAGAUGGGAUCCUCUCUUCGGAGACACGAAGACAGGUGGUGCAUGGUUGUCGUCAGCUCGUGUCGUGAGAUGUUGGGUUAAGUCCCGCAACGAGCGCAACCCUUAUGAUUAGUUGCUACGCAAGAGCACUCUGAUCAGACUGCCGUUGACAAAACGGAGGAAGGUGGGGAUGAGGUCAAAUCAUCAUGCCCCUUACGACCUGGGCCUCACACGUACUACAAUGGCGUUUAACAAAGAGCAGCAAAACCGCGAGGUGGAGCAAAUCUCCAAAAAACGUCUCAGUUCGGAUUGUAGGCUGCAACCCGCCUGCAUGAAGUCGGAAUUGCUAGUAAUCGUAGAUCAGCAUGCCGCGGUGAAUACGUUCCCGGGUCUUGUACACACCGCCCGUCAAACAAUGGGAGUGGUGUUUACCAGAAGUCGUUAGCCUAACCGCAAGGAGGGCGGCGACCACGGUGAGCACCGUGACUAAUGUUAAGUCGUAACAAGGUACC